rnacentral:sRNA from 1 species
ACUGGAUGUGGUGGUGCAUACCUGUAAUCCCAGCUGCUCAGAAGGCUGAGGUAGGAGGAUUUUGAGUUCAGAGCCAGCCUCAGAAACAUAGUGAGGCACUGAGCAACUCAGUGAGACCCUGUCUCUA